GACGAACGCUGGCGGCGUGCUUAACACAUGCAAGUCGAACGAUGAACUUGGAGCUUGCUCUGGGGGAUUAGUGGCGAACGGGUGAGUAACACGUGAGUAACCUGCCCUGGACUCUGGGAUAACUUCGAGAAAUCGGAGCUAAUACCGGAUAGGACCUUGCACCGCAUGGUGUGGGGUGGAAAGUUUUUCGGUUUGGGAUGGACUCGCGGCCUAUCAGCUUGUUGGUGAGGUAAUGGCUCACCAAGGCGUCGACGGGUAGCCGGCCUGAGAGGGUGACCGGCCACACUGGGACUGAGACACGGCCCAGACUCCUACGGGAGGCAGCAGUGGGGAAUACUGCACAAUGGGCGCAAGCCUGAUGCAGCAACGCCGCGUGCGGGAUGACGGCCUUCGGGUUGUAAACCGCUUUUAGUAGGGAAGAAGCCUUCGGGUGACGGUACCUGCAGAAAAAGGACCGGCUAACUACGUUCCAGCCGCCGCUGUAAAAC
rnacentral:rRNA from 1 species